ACUCAAAUGAAUUGACGGGUGCCCGCACAAGCAGUGGAGUAUGUGGAUUAAUUCGACGCUACGCGAAGAACCUUACCAGGGCUUGACAUCCUACUAACGAAGCAGAGAUGCAUUAGGUGCCCCUCGGGGAAAGUAGAGACAGGUGUUGCAUGGUUGUCGUCAGCUCGUGUCGUGAGAUGUUGGGUUAAGUCCCGCAACGAGCGCAACCCUUAUCGUUAGUUGCUACGUAAGAGCACUCUAGCGAGACUGCCGUUGACAAAACGGAGGAAGGUGGGGAUGAGGUCAAAUCAUCAUGGCCCUUAUGUCCUGGGCUUCACACGUACUACAAUGGCGAUUAACAACGGGUAGCGAAGGCGUGAGCCGGAGCCAAUCCCCAAAAGUCGCCUCAGUUCAGAUUGCAGGCUGCAACUCGCCUGCAUGAAGUCGGAAUUGCUAGUAAUCGCGAAUCAGCAUGUCGCGGUGAAUACGUUCCCGGGCAUUGCACACACCGCCCGU
rnacentral:rRNA from 1 species